GGACAACCCGCCGAAAGGCGGGCUAAACCCGCGUACAUGCCACCGGGGCAUCCCGGAGGCAGGAAAGGCUUCGGCCGGACAGGGAUGGGCAUGCGGCGCAUUAGGCAGUAGGCGGGGUAACGGCCCACCUAACCGACGAUGCGUAGGGGUUCUGAGAGGAAGGUCCCCCACACUGGUACUGAGACACGGACCAGACUCCUACGGGAGGCAGCAGUGAGGAAUAUUGGUCAAUGGUCGGGAGACUGAACCAGCCAAGCCGCGUGAGGGAUGAAGGUACAGAGUAUCGUAAACCUCUUUUGUCAGGGAACAAAGGCGGGGACGUGUCCCCGGAUGAGUGUACCUGAAGAAAAAGCAUCGGCUAACUCCGUGCCAGCAGCCGCGGUAAUACGGAGGAUGCGAGCGUUAUCCGGAUUUAUUGGGUUUAAAGGGUGCGCAGGCGGUCUGUUAAGUCAGCGGUCAAAGCCCGGGGCUCAACCCCGGCCCGCCGUUGAAACUGGCAGUCUCGGGUUGGAGAGAAGUAUGCGGAAUGCGCGGUGUAGCGGUGAAAUGCAUAGAUAUCGCGCAGAACUCCGAUUGCGAAGGCAGCAUGCCGGCUCCACACUGACGCUGAGGCACGAAAGCGUGGGUAUCGAACAGGAUUAGAUACCCUGGUAGUCCACGCAGUAAACGAUGAA
rnacentral:rRNA from 1 species